rnacentral:tRNA from 1 species
AUAGCUCAGUGGUAGAGUACAUGCCUAGCAUGCACGAGGUCCUGGGUUCAAUUCCCAGU